rnacentral:rRNA from 1 species
UACGGAGGAUGCAAGCGUUAUCCGGAAUGAUUGGGCGUAAAGCGUCCGCAGGUGGCUAUGUAAGUCUGCUGUUAAAGAGCAAGGCUCAACCUUGUAAAGGCAGUGGAAACUGCAUGGCUAGAGUGCGUUCGGGGCAGAGGGAAUUCCUGGUGUAGCGGUGAAAUGCGUAGAGAUCAGGAAGAACACCGGUGGCGAAAGCGCUCUGCUAGGCCGCAACUGACACUGAGGGACGAAAGCUAGGGGAGCGAAUGGG